CAUUUUUUUGUCAAACAUUACGUCAUUACUUUCAGUCGCUGGAUUCAAGAUGGCCGCCUAUUUGGGAGCGUAUUUGGAAAUAAUUUCAUCGAUUUUGUGCAUAUUUUCUUCAUUUUUUCGAUGAAACUUAAUAGUUUUCCAUCAGCCAGACUCUAUAAACCGAAAGUCAUCUUAUAUGAGUAAACUUGGAAGGCUGGAAGCCUGAAAUAGACGACAAAAGUUCACAAUUUUCACAAAGUUGGAACUUCGUAAAUUGCAACAAUAAUAUUCGCAAGUUGCUGUUUAUUUGGAUGUAAAUAGAAUCUGCUUAAUGGGACAAGGGUUUAAUAGAACUUUUUGCCUUGCUGGCAAAUGAUAUUUUAAAAGCUCUCAGGACAGCUGUUAUCUCACAAUAGGUAUUAUAUAAUACCUUAUUAAAUUCUAAUCGUUUAAUUGGCUGUUUAUGGUCACGUGAUAUUGAAUAGAAAAUUCCAUUUCCCAAGAGUGCAAUGGAACGCGUUCCAUUGCACUCUCCGCGAGUGCAAUGGAAUAAAACGUAUA